GAGGGUAUAGCUCAGUGGUAGAGCGCCCGCUUAGCAUGCACAAGGUCCUGGGUUCAAUCCCCAGUACUUCCA
rfam:Camelus ferus unplaced genomic scaffold scaffold1891, whole genome shotgun sequence.